rnacentral:rRNA from 1 species
AUGGCUCAGAUUGAACGCUGGCGGCAGGCCUAACACAUGCAAGUCGAGCGGAUGACGGGAGCUUGCUCCUUGAUUCAGCGGCGGACGGGUGAGUAAUGCCUAGGAAUCUGCCUGGUAGUGGGGGACAACGUUUCGAAAGGAACGCUAAUACCGCAUACGUCCUACGGGAGAAAGCAGGGGACCUUCGGGCCUUGCGCUAUCAGAUGAGCCUAGGUCGGAUUAGCUAGUUGGUGGGGUAAUGGCUCACCAAGGCGACGAUCCGUAACUGGUCUGAGAGGAUGAUCAGUCACACUGGAACUGAGACACGGUCCAGACUCCUACGGGAGGCAGCAGUGGGGAAUAUUGGACAAUGGGCGAAAGCCUGAUCCAGCCAUGCCGCGUGUGUGAAGAAGGUCUUCGGAUUGUAAAGCACUUUAAGUUGGGAGGAAGGGCAGUAAGCUAAUACCUUGCUGUUUUGACGUUACCGACAGAAUAAGCACCGGCUAACUCUGUGCCAGCAGCCGCGGUAAUACAGAGGGUGCAAGCGUUAAUCGGAAUUACUGGGCGUAAAGCGCGCGUAGGUGGUUUGUUAAGUUGGAUGUGAAAGCCCCGGGCUCAACCUGGGAACUGCAUCCAAAACUGGCAAGCUAGAGUACGGUAGAGGGUGGUGGAAUUUCCUGUGUAGCGGUGAAAUGCGUAGAUAUAGGAAGGAACACCAGUGGCGAAGGCGACCACCUGGACUGAUACUGACACUGA